rnacentral:rRNA from 1 species
UACGUAGGUGGCAAGCGUUGUCCGGAUUUACUGGGCGUAAAGAGCGCGCAGGCGGUCGUCCAAGUCGCGUGUGAAAGCCCCCGGCUCAACCGGGGAGGGUCAUUGGAAACUGGGGAACUUGAGUGCAGAAGAGGAGAGUGGAAUUCCACGUGUAGCGGUGAAAUGCGUAGAGAUGUGGAGGAACACCAGUGGCGAAGGCGACUCUCUGGUCUGUAACUGACGCUGAGGCGCGAAAGCGUGGGGAUCGAACAGG